rnacentral:rRNA from 1 species
UGGGGAAUAUUGCACAAUGGGCGCAAGCCUGAUGCAUCCAUGCCGCGUGUAUGAAGAAGGCCUUCGGGUUGUAAAGUACUUUCAGCGAGGAGGAAGGCGGUAAGGUUAAUAACCUUAUCGAUUGACGUUACUCGCAGAAGAAGCACCGGCUAACUCCGUGCCAGCAGCCGCGGUAAUACGGAGGGUGCAAGCGUUAAUCGGAAUUACUGGGCGUAAAGCGCACGCAGGCGGUCUGUCAAGUCGGAUGUGAAAUCCCCGGGCUCAACCUGGGAACUGCAUUCGAAACUGGCAGGCUAGAGUCUUGUAGAGGGGGGUAGAAUUCCAGGUGUAGCGGUGAAAUGCGUAGAGAUCUGGAGGAAUACCGGUGGCGAAGGCGGCCCCCUGGACAAAGACUGACGCUCAGGUGCGAAAGCGUGGGGAGCAAACA